GAUGAACGCUAGCGGCAGGCUUAAUACAUGCAAGUCGUGGGGCAGCAUGAGUAGCAAUACUUGAUGGCGACCGGCAAACGGGUGAGGAACACGUACACAACCUUCCUUCAAGCGGGGAAUAGCCCAGAGAAAUUUGGAUUAAAUACCCCAUAAUAUAUUUGAUAAGGCAUCUUAUUAAUAUUAAAGCUUCGGCACUUGAUGAUGGGUGUGCGGCUGAUUAGAUAGUUGCGGGGUAACGGCCCACCAAGUCUACGAUCAGUAGCUGAUGUGAGAGCAUGAUCAGCCACACGGGUACUGAGACACGGGCCCGACUCCUACGGGAGGCAGCAGUAAGGAUAUUGGACAAUGGACGAAAGUCUGAUCCAGCCAUGCCGCGUGAAGGAUUAAGGUCCUCUGGAUUGUAAACUUCUUUUAUAUGGGACGAAAAAAGGGCAUUCUUGUUCACUUGACGGUACCAUAUGAAUAAGCACCGGCUAACUCCGUGCCAGCA
rnacentral:rRNA from 1 species